CUGUGAUUGGCUGCUUUUGUUGACUCCGCCUACGGUACAAUACACCAAAAUUCUCGAACGUCCAGACGGAAAAGGCGCGCGAAUUCUUAAUUUGGAGGGCUGGAGACGUACGCGUGUUGCAGCAAAGCAGCUCAGCUUGUUGAUUUGUAACCGGUUUCUUAUGACGGCGUGAAAUGUUAGCUACUACUGCAAGUAAAGUCCACGACAAUUUUUGAAAUGCAGUGCAAUAUCAACGCCUAUGAAACUAUGACAAACACUAAGAAUACUCUAGUUUUUCAACACACAAGCAACUCAAUUAAGACACCAACA